rnacentral:rRNA from 1 species
CUUAACACAUGCAAGUCGAACGAAGAUAUUUAGAAUGAGAGCUUCGGCAGGAUUUUAUCAUCUUAGUGGCGGACGGGUGAGUAACGUGUGGGCAACCUGCCCUGUACUGGGGAAUAAUCAUUGGAACGAUGACUAAUACCGCAUGUGGUCCUCGGAAGGCAUCUUCUGAGGAAGAAAGGAUUUAUUCGGUACAGGAUGGGCCCGCAUCUGAUUAGCUAGUUGGUGAGAUAACAGCCCACCAAGGCGACGAUCAUAGCCGACCUGAGAGGGUGAUCGGCCACAUUGGGACUGAGACACGGCCCAAACUCCUACGGGAGGCAGCAGUGGGGAAUAUUGCACAAUGGGCGAAAGCCUGAUGCAGCAACGCCGCGUGAAGGAUGAGGGUUUCGGCUCGUAAACUUCUAUCAAUAGGGAAGAAAGAAAUGACGGUACCUAAAUAAGAAGCCCCGGCUAACUACGUGCCAGCAGCCGCGGUAAUACGUAGGGGGCAAGCGUUAUCCGGAAUUAUGGGUGUAAAGGGAGCGUAGGCGGCAUGGUAAGCCAGAUGUGAAAGCCUUGGGCUUAACCCGAGGAUUGCAUUUGGAACUAUCAAGCUAGAGUACAGGAUGAGGAAAGCGGAAUUCCUAGUGUAGCGUGAAAUGCGUAGAUAUUAGGAAGAACACCAGUGGCGAAGGCGGCUUUCUGGACUGAAACUGACGCUGAGGCUCGAAAGCGUGGGGAGCAAACAGGAUUAGAUACCCUGGUAGUCCACGCCGUAAACGUGAGUGCUAGGUGUCGGGGAGGAAUCCUCGGUGCCGCAGCUAACGCAAUAAGCACUCCACCUGGGGAGUACGACCGCAAGGUUGAAACUCAAAGGAAUUGACGGGGGCCCGCACAAGCGGUGGAGCAGUGGUUUAAUUCGAAGCAACGCGAAGAACCUUACCAAGGCUUGACAUCCCGAUGACCGCUCUAGAGAUAGAGCUUCUCUUCGGAGCAUCGGUGACAGGUGGUGCAUGGUUGUCGUCAGCUCGUGCGUAGAUGUUGGGUUAAGUCCCGCAACGAGCGCAACCCUUAUCUUCAGUAGCCAUCAUUCAGUUGGGCACUCUGGAGAGACUGCCGUGGAUAACACGGAGGAAGGUGGGGAUGACGUCAAAUCAUCAUGCCCUUAUGUCUGGGCUACACACGUGCUACAAUGGCUGGUAACAAAGUGACGCAAGACGGCGACGUUAAGCAAAUCACAAAAACCCAGUCCCAGUUCGGAUUGUAGUCUGCAACUCGACUACAUGAAGCGGAAUCGCUAGUAAUCGCGAAUCAGCAUGUCGCGGUGAAUACGUUCCCGGGCCUUGUACACACCGCCCGUCACACCAUGGGAGUUGGAAGCACCCGAAGUCGGUGACCUAACCGUAAGGAAGGAGCCCCGAAGGUGAAGCCAGUGACUGGGGUGAAGUCGUAACAAGGUAGCCGUAUCGGAAGGUGCGGCUG